UAAAUUAUUAAAAGUAAUUAUUAUAAGAUUUGUUUAAGUAUUUUAUAAAGAAAAAAUAAUUUUAAUUAUAGUUAAAUAGUAUUGUGAAAGAAAAUUGAAAUAAUUUGAAAAAUUAAUAUUUUAAAAGAAAAUUUAAUUUGUUGUACCUUGUGUAUCAGGGUUUAUUAAAUAAAAAUUAUUUAUAAUAAUUUUCUCGAUUUUAAAAGAGUUAAUAUACUAUGAAAGUUAAUGUUACAAAAUUAUUUUGUAUAGUAUAUUAGAAAUGAAAUGUUAUUCGUUUUUAAAGGUAUCUAGUUCUUUAAGAAAUAAAUUUAAUUUAGAAAUUUUAUAUUAUUUAGUUAAAUAUAUUAAUUAAAUAAUUAUUUUAUUUUAAUAUUUUGUGGGAUAAGCUAUGAAAUAAAUUAUUAAAAAUUAUUAAAUGAUUUAAUAAAUAUAGGCUUAGAAAUAGCUAUUAUUAAUAAAAUUGUUAUAAUUUAUUUUAUAAUAUUGAUUAUUUAUUAGAUUUUAAUUAUGUAUUAAAGUAUUUAUUUUAAUUUAAAAAAUAAAAAAAUAAUGAUAAAAUUAGUAUAUUAUAUUGUAUAAAUAUAAUGAAUUGAUAAGUUUUUAUAAAGAACUCGGCAAAAAUAAUGUUCGCCUGUUUAACAAAAACAUGUCUUUUUGAAUUUUUUUAAAAGUCUAGCCUGCCCACUGAAUAAUUUAAAUGGCCGCAGUAUACUAACUGUGCAAAGGUAGCAUAAUCAUUAGUCUUUUAAUUGAAGGCUGGUAUGAAUGGUUGGACGAGAUAUUAACUGUUUCAUAAAAAUUUAUAGUAGAAUUUUAUUUUUUAGUCAAAAAGCUAAAAUAAAAUUAAAAGACGAGAAGACCCUAUAAAUCUUUAUAUAUAUAGAUUGUUAGAAUUUUGUAGAUUUUUUUUAUUAUAAUAAUUAAUUAUAUUUUAUUGGGGUGAUAUUAAAAUUUAAUAAACUUUUAAUUUUUUUAAUCAUUAAUUUAUGAAUAAUUGAUCCGUUAAUAACGAUUAAAAAAAUAAGUUACUUUAGGGAUAACAGCGUAAUUUUUUUGGAGAGUUCAUAUCGAUAAAAAAGAUUGCGACCUCGAUGUUGGAUUAAGAUAUAAUUUUAGGUGUAGCCGCUUAAAUUUUAAGUCUGUUCGACUUUUAAAUUCUUACAUGAUCUGAGUUCAAACCGGCGUAAGCCAGGUUGGUUUCUAUCUUUAAUUAAUUAAAAUAUUUCAGUACGAAAGGACCUAAUAUUUAAUAAAUAAUUAUU
rnacentral:rRNA from 1 species